GACGAACGCUGGCGGCGUGCUUAACACAUGCAAGUCGAACGGAAAGGCUCCAGCUUGCUGGAGUACUCGAGUGGCGAACGGGUGAGUAACACGUGGGUAAUCUGCCCUGCACUCUGGGAUAAGCCUGGGAAACUGGGUCUAAUACUGGAUAUGACCUUUCUCCUUAUGGGGUUUGGUGGAAAGUUUUUCGGUGUAGGAUGAGCCCGCGGCCUAUCAGCUUGUUGGUGGGGUGAUGGCCUACCAAGGCGACGACGGGUAGCCGGCCUGAGAGGGUGUUCGGCCACAUUGGGACUGAGAUACGGCCCAGACUCCUACGGGAGGCAGCAGUGGGGAAUAUUGCACAAUGGGCGGAAGCCUGAUGCAGCGACGCCGCGUGAGGGAUGACGGCCUUCGGGUUGUAAACCUCUUUCAGCAGGGACGAAGCGUAAGUGACGGUACCUGCAGAAGAAGCACCGGCCAACUAUGUG
rnacentral:rRNA from 1 species